CCCCAACUCAGACGACUCAGAGGACUCGGACCAAGAUGAAGAGGGUGCGUAGUAGUUUUAGUACAGAGCAGGAGUGUGUUCUCUCUCCAGGUGUGUGUGUGUGUGUGUUUGUGUGUGUGUUGUCUCUCUCCAGGUGUGUGUGUUGUCUCUCUCCAAGUGUGUGUGUUGUCUCUCCAGGUAUGUGUGUGUGUUGUCUCUCUCCAGGUAUGUGUGUGUGUUGUCUCUCUCCAGGUAUGUGUGUGUGUUGUCUCUCUCCAGGUAUGUGUGUGUGUUGUCUCUCUCCAGGUAUGUGUGUGUGUUGUCUCUCUCCAGGUGUGUGUGUGUGUUGUCUCUCUCCAGGUAUGUGUGUGUGUUGUCUCUCUCCAGGUGUUCGGGCUACAGUGACGCUAGCUGAACUGCAGGAAGACUUCCUGUCCCG
ensembl:lncRNA